rnacentral:rRNA from 1 species
UACGAAGGGUGCUAGCGUUGUUCGGAAUUACUGGGCGUAAAGCGUACGUAGGCGGCUUAGUAAGUCGAUUGUGAAAGCCCCAGGCUUAACCUGGGAAUUGCAACCGAAACUGCUUUGCUUGAGUUUGGUGGGGGAUGGCGGAAUUCUUAGUGUAGGGGUGAAAUCCGUAGAUAUUAAGAGGAAUACCGGUGGCGAAGGCGGCCAUCUACGCCAAUACUGACGCUAAGGUACGAAAGCGUGGGGAGCAAACAGG